GAUUUACCAUUCCUUUUUCGGUCGAAACUAAUGGAUAACCUUGAUGCUAUGGAAAAAUAGGUCUUUGAAACCAAGUUUGCCAAAAUUGGAAAGAGAUUUGCUAAUUCCACAUGCGUGUGAGCCCUGCCAUCCAUGUGCAUUCCAGCUUGUGGACCCAUCUGAUGAGUGAACGAUACAAAUUUUUCUGCCACCUUUUUCCUUUUAUUAAAAUGAACACCCGCAGGGAAAUGCUUGUCUUGUGUUCUUUUUAAGCUAGCAUUAUACCAAAGAAAGUUGUAUAAACUUCUCGCUGAAGGUAUGCCGACUCACUCUCACUUAUCUCAUGAUUCUUGUUUUCUAUGCCCUACAACUUUGCAUGUCUUACACCUUUGUAUGAUGGUUGUUCUUUCUUUCUUAUUCUGAAUCAUUGCUAAGAAAUGAUUGAUGGUUAUCAUACACAUUAAUUUGACGUGAAGCUUACCGGAAGAGCUGAGGCUUUGGCGUAAAGCAAGAGUGCCAUAGAAAAAGAACUCAAGUGGCAAUUGGAAUCUUUCAUGAUUGGAACUACUAAACAUUUUGAAUUUCAAGAAUCAGAGGUGAUCAAUUGGCAAUUGCUAAGGAAACUGGGAGUCGGCUGGGAAUGGGUACAAACAUGUACCCAUCUUCAUCUCUUGGUUGUUCAUCAAUCUAUGCUGGUUAUAUCCUCUCUACUGGCAGCAAGAAAUCUUUAAGGAAAAAGAACGGAUAGAUGGAAAGGUAUUGCCUCUUGCAAAAUAGAGAGAAAUGCAAAGGAGAUUGGUGCAAAGGGAAGAGGAUCUUUGUAGCGUGUGUCAGAUUUGGGAUAUUCAUCAGUUGGGGACCAAACUCACCAAGAAAAGGAUGAUGACCUGAUGACAUUUUCUUUGUAUUUUCAGUAUAUUAUUGUAACUGUAACUGUAACUG